ACCCGCUGAACUUAAGCAUAUCAAUAAGCGGAGGAAAAGAAACCAACAGGGAUUGCCUCAGUAACGGCGAGUGAAGCGGCAACAGCUCAAAUUUGAAAUCUGGUCCUUUCAGGGCCCGAGUUGUAAUUUGUAGAAGAUGCUUCGAGCGUGGCGCCGGUCUAAGUUCCUUGGAACAGGACGUCAUAGAGGGUGAGAAUCCCGUAUGCGACUAGCCGCCUUCGUUUAUGUGAAGCUCUUUCGACGAGUCGAGUUGUUUGGGAAUGCAGCUCAAAAUGGGUGGUAUAUUUCAUCUAAAGCUAAAUAUUGGCCAGAGACCGAUAGCGCACAAGUAGAGUGAUCGAAAGAUGAAAAGCACUUUGGAAAGAGAGUUAAACAGUACGUGAAAUUGUUGAAAGGGAAGCGCUUGCAACCAGACUUGCACGCUGCCGAUCAUCUGGGGUUCUCCCCAGUGCACUCGGUUGUGUUCAGGCCAGCAUCGGUUUGGGUGGUUGGAUAAAGGCCUUGGGAAUGUAGCUUCUUUCGGGGAGUGUUAUAGCCCUCGGUGCAAUGCAGCCUACCCGGACCGAGGACCGCGCUUCGGCUAGGAUGCUGGCGUAAUGGUUGUAAGCGACCCGUCUUGAAACACGG
rnacentral:rRNA from 1 species